UACGGAGGGUGCAAGCGUUAAUCGGAAUUACUGGGCGUAAAGCGCGCGUAGGCGGCUUGGUAAGUCGAUUGUGAAAGCCCCGGGCUCAACCUGGGAAUUGCAGUCGAGACUGUCAGGCUAGAGUGUGGGAGAGGGCAGUGGAAUUCCCGGUGUAGCGGUGAAAUGCGUAGAUAUCGGGAGGAACAUCAGUGGCGAAGGCGACUGCCUGGCCCAACACUGACGCUGAGGUGCGAAAGCGUGGGUAGCAAACAGG
rnacentral:rRNA from 1 species